AAAUUGAAGAGUUUGAUCAUGGCUCAGAUUGAACGCUGGCGGCAGGCCUAACACAUGCAAGUCGAACGGUAACAGGAAGAAGCUUGCUUCUUUGCUGACGAGUGGCGGACGGGUGAGUAAUGUCUGGGAAACUGCCUGAUGGAGAGGGAUAACUACUGGAAACGGUAGCUAAUACCGCAUAACGUCGCAAGACCAAAGAGGGGGACCUUUGGGCCUCUUGCCAUCGGAUGUGCCCAGAUGGGAUUAGCUAGUAGGUGGGGUAACGGCUCACCUAGGCGACGAUCCCUAGCUGGUCUGAGAGGAUGACCAGCCACACUGGAACUGAGACACGGUCCA
rnacentral:rRNA from 1 species